CGUGCUUAACACAUGCAAGUCGAACGGAAAGGCCCUGCUUGCAGGGUACUCGAGUGGCGAACGGGUGAGUAACACGUGGGUGAUCUGCCCUGCACUUCGGGAUAAGCUUGGGAAACUGGGUCUAAUACCGGAUAGGAACCAUCUUUAGUGUGGUGGUUGGAAAGUUUUUUCGGUGUAGGAUGAGCUCGCGGCCUAUCAGCUUGUUGGUGGGGUAAUGGCCUACCAAGGCGGCGACGGGUAGCCGGCCUGAGAGGGUGUACGGCCACAUUGGGACUGAGAUACGGCCCAGACUCCUACGGGAGGCAGCAGUGGGGAAUAUUGCACAAUGGGCGCAAGCCUGAUGCAGCGACGCCGCGUGGGGGAUGAAGGCCUUCGGGUUGUAAACUCCUUUCGCUAGGGACGAAGCUUUUUGUGACGGUACCUAGAUAAGAAGCACCGGCUAACUACGUGCCAGCAGCCGCGGUAAUACGUAGGGUGCGAGCGUUGUCCGGAAUUACUGGGCGUAAAGGGCUCGUAGGUGGUUUGUCGCGUCGUCUGUGAAAUUCUGGGGCUUAACUCCGGGCGUGCAGGCGAUACGGGCAUAACUUGAGUGCUGUAGGGGUAACUGGAAUUCCUGGUGUAGCGGUGAAAUGCGCAGAUAUCAGGAGGAACACCGAUGGCGAAGGCAGGUUACUGGGCAGUUACUGACGCUGAGGAGCGA
rnacentral:rRNA from 1 species